rfam:Fukomys damarensis contig111570, whole genome shotgun sequence.
AUCGCUUCUCGGCCUUUUGGCUAAGAUCAAGUGUAAAACUAGGAAGAGGCUGUCUUCUGAAGUCAAGUACAUAUCUGGAGAUUUUUUAUAAGCAUUUUUAGAAAAGUUCCAGUUAUCUAUACUUUUAGCAUAACAAAAAGAUUCUUCUGGUUGAAUUUGAUCUAAAAUGUUACCUUUAGCCAAG